CAUUGAAUCAGAAUCAUGGGAUUGUUUGAUAAGCUAGCAGGAUGGCUUGGUCUGAAGAAGAAGGAGGUUCAUGUUUUGUGCCUUGGGUUGGACAAUAGUGGCAAAACAACUAUCAUUAAUAAACUUAAACCUUCAAAUGCUCAAACUCAAGACAUAGUUCCAACAAUAGGAUUCAGUAUAGAAAAAUUCAAGACAUCCAGUUUGUCUUUCACAGUGUUUGACAUGUCAGGUCAAGGCAGAUACAGAAACCUGUGGGAACAUUACUACAAAGAAGGCCAGGCCAUUAUUUUUGUCAUUGAUAGCAGUGAUAAAUUAAGAAUGGUUGUGGCCAAAGAAGAACUUGACACCCUCCUGACUCAUCCAGAUAUCAAACACCGUAGAAUACCUAUCUUGUUCUUUGCUAACAAGAUGGACCUCAGGGAUGCAGUAUCAUCUGUGAAAGUCUCUCAGUUACUGUCUUUAGAGAACAUCAAAGAUAAACCAUGGCAUAUCUGGAAGAAUACCAUGAAUGAAUACCAUGAAGCUGGCAACAUUGGGGAUUCCCUGGCCUGGUCACCAGUGCAGGGAUUGGAUUAAGUGGCUCAAGACCGACCACCUGGAAGCCAGGGAUGAGAACAUCACCUCUGUCAUCCUGCCUUGCUUACAAGGAGUUUGUCAAGGUGCUGGAUAUUGUGCUGAGCAUGGAGCCAGCAGUACUUCACAGUGCCCUGAUCAGCUGGGAUGGUGACCUUCUGACCCCGAAUCCAGUAUAGGACUGGAGGGGAGUCAGUAGGUGCUGGAUCAGGCUGAUGAAGUGACAGUGGUGCUGGAACUGGUCCUGGAGGAGGCUUUGCCAAUGAAGCAGCUGCAGCAUAUCCUGAGUCCUUCCUCAGAGGAGUUUUUUGAUGCCCCCCCAAGGAGCAGUCUGCUGCAGAACUGGCAGGAAAACCGGAAGAGACAGAACUCAGCCUGGAACUUGUACUUAUAUUGGCUGUUGUACCUUGGUAGCUUUCGCUCACUCCACUGGAAGCCUGGGUUUCCAUACCAUCAUACACCAGUCCUAGAGGAAGCAUUCCCAUGAUGAAUUUAUUGUUGACAUUCUGGACAGGGACAACAAAUAGGUGCAAUACCAAAGAGAGAAGAAUUCACUUAAAGUGGAGAGGCAAGUGGAAAGGCACAGGCAGGCUGCAGAGAUGAGGACAGAAUUACAGCGUGGGAGCAGAUACUUGCAUCGCAGUUCCUGGAAGAGGAACGUUGGUUAAGGGUGGAAGACUGAGUGUAGCAGAACGACCAGUUUGACUAAUGGCUGCUUUUGCUAAUAGUUGCAAGAGUGCAGGCUCCUGCCAUGCUUAUACUGUGACCUGAGUCUCCUUCAUGGUACCUUUCUCAGAGUAGCAGCCGUGUUAGUCUGUAUCCGCAAAAAGAAAAGGAGUACUUGUGGCUGAAGUGAGCUGUAGCUCACGAAAGCUUAUGCUCUAAUAAAUUUGUUAGUCUCUAAGGUGCCACAAGUACUCCUUUUCUUUCUUCAUGGUACCGUGUGCUGCAUACCAGGGUCUCUUUGAACAAUUUCAUGAUUGGCUGGCCCAUGCAACUGGGACUUAAUAGCAGCUGAACUGGGCAAAUCUACCCCUGCAUACUUCCACCCCGUGCAGACCUUCUUCUCCCUCUUGCAGGCCGCCACUCUCCCGCAGGCCUCUAUGCCCAUGCAGCAAUGGCAAGUGAGUGGUAAAUGCACAAGAGAGGAAGAAGAAAACUUGCCAGGUGACACACACAAUUGGAGGAUUUUUCUGACGGCACUGUUUGCAUUGUUCAGUGUUGAAUGCACUUUGUUUUAUUACUGGUUGUGGUAUUGGUUUAUUACUGUUGUUUCAGUAUUCUAAUGGUAGCAAGCCUGCCUGGCAAUACUUUAAUAUUGUUAUUUUUAUAAUACAAAUAAAGGCUUUUAUUUUAUUUAAAAAA